rnacentral:misc_RNA from 1 species
UCAUUAUCCAACAAUAUGUUACUAGGCUUGACAUCGCGGUGUAGAACGCGAGGAGCACAUUGAUGAUGGAGAUAAGAAAGUGCAGAGGCUAUAUCUAAAGCAAUCUUGUGGAGAACCUUCCAAUUAACAGCUAUUGGUGAUCUUUCCUUGAUAAAAUCUUCCAGAUUACCUCCAGGCAAAUAAUUAUAUAUGAGAAACAUCUCAGUUUCAUUGGCAUGGUACCCUAUUAAAGUUACAAGAUUAGGGUGCCUCAUUCUACUGAGGGCCUUUAUCUCAGCAUGGAAUUGUUGAACGCCUUGAAUCCUUCCAACAGCAAGCUUCUUUAUAGCCACUAGUGUCCCUGGAGAAAUUUC